UACGGAGGAUCCAAGCGUUAUCCGGAAUCAUUGGGUUUAAAGGGUCCGUAGGCGGUUUUGUAAGUCAGUGAUGAAAGCCCAUCGCUCAACGGUGGAACGGCCAUUGAUACUGCAAGACUUGAAUUACUAGGAAGUAACUAGAAUAUGUAGUGUAGCGGUGAAAUGCUUAGAUAUUACAUGGAAUACCAAUUGCGAAGGCAGGUUACUACUAGUUGAUUGACGCUGAUGGACGAAAGCGUGGGGAGCGAACGGG
rnacentral:rRNA from 1 species